rnacentral:rRNA from 1 species
CCCCCCCCUGAGGAGAGAAAGGGAAGAAAGGAAAACACCCCCCCCCCCCCCCCCCCCCCCCCCCCCACCCCCCCCCCCGCGCCCCCCCCGAUUUUUUUUUGUUGAGGGGAGGGAAAAAAGGAGAAAAAGACCCCCCCCCAAAAAAAACAAAAACCCCCCCCUUUUUUCCCCCGGGGGGUGGGGGGGGGUUUUUUAUUAAAAAAACCGGGGGGACCCACCAAGUUUUUUCCCGGGGGGGGAAAAGGGGGCCCCGGGGGCCCCACCCCAAAUUUAAUGGGGGUUGGCUCCCCCCCUUUGGGCCCCCCCCGGGGGUUACCCUUUUAGGUUUCCGGGUUGUUAGUUUGGGGGGAAUUGGGGGGGGAUAACCAUUUUCCCCCAGGAAACCGCUUAUGGCCAUGAUUUAGCCAAGGUAUUUUGGGGCCACUUUAGAAUAUUCCAAGCUAUGCUUCCACGGCGUGGGAGCUUUUCCCAUAUGGUCGACUUGCAGGCCGCCGGGGAAUUCACUAGUGAUUUCNUAGGUGACCUGCGGGAAGGAUCAUUCACGCUACCCAAGCGAAAACCCAUGUGAUUUCUNNUAUGAGCUAAAUGUCUGGGGUGGGUUCGGCUGGCGUCGUUUCCUCAUGCUCUAGCUCGCGAGUCUGGGAGUGGCAUNGGACCAAUCCCUUGUUAUGUACUACUUGUGUGUUGAAGUGCAUAUGGAUUUGUGCUACUCUGGGUGUCUUCUACACUCUUGCUCAUUUGUUGUCACAACUUUCAGCGAUGGAUGUCUCGGCUCGAACAACGAUGAAGGGCGCAGCGAAGUGCGAUAAGCACUGUGAUACGCAGAAUUCAGUGAAUCAGAGGCUUCUUGAACGUAUCUGGCGCGAUGGACCAAACCCAACGCAGAUGUAUUUCAGUGGCUAUGGACCCUUUUAUGCCAUCGACAGUUUGCUUACUCAGAUUUGCUCGGUUCGGUGAUCGUGUUUGUGUGCCAAGGAGACCUUUCCCUUGACGCAUGUAGCACACAGGAGUAUCGCCUCCAGGAAGCAGUCGGAGAUGUGCUUAGGUAUCUUGCGUUGCGCUGGUGGUGAUGUCAUUCCUGGCUCCAUUGUAGAUUGCUUUUUACAUGGGCAUGAAAUUAGGUCAGAACACCUGCUGAAUAUAGGCAUAUCA